GGUGUUGGAAAUCUGAAUGUCACCCGCGGUCCGGAGCAGAUAGGAUGGGCUGGGAAGGUACCCGCGAACUGCCGCCGGAAUUCGCUGGCAGCUGUGCGAGGCUCAGAAAGGAAGGAGGAAACCUGAACAGUACAUCCAGAGAAUCCAGCAAAGCAUACCACGGCAUGAACAUGCAAGUGGACAGAAUUAAAACACAUGCCAGAAACACUAAUGGAUUCUAAACAAGAUGCAGUUUCAUUUCCUGAGCCUAUACGUGAUGUUUUUAACUGUUCUCCAGUUAAUAUGUCUCCAUUUCCAGAAAUCUAACAGGAGAAUCUCUGACUGCUUAACAGAUCACCUAAGCUUGCGAUUUGUGCAAUCCAUUCUAGAGUAAGGGCUCCCCGGCUGCUCCCCGGCCACUGUGUACCCAAAGCAGCGGCUGAAAUAGCCCGGAGUCCAACAGCUCAGCGUCAAGCAGCUCGUGGUUUGUACUUACAUCAUUUUUUUUUUUCAGAGCAGGAGUGAAAGUUUAUUAAAAAGCGUUAGAACAGUAAG
rnacentral:antisense_RNA from 1 species